rnacentral:rRNA from 1 species
GACGAACCGUGCUAACGUUAUUCGGAAUCACUGGGCAUAAAGGGCGCGUAGGCGGCUUUCUAAGUCAGGGUGAAAUCCGGCAGCUCAACUGUCGCAGUGCCUUUGAUACUGGGAAGCUCGAGGGAGGUAGGGGUCUGUGGAACUUCCGGUGGAGCGGUGAAAUGCGUUGAUAUCGCUUGGAACGCCAACGGUGAAACAGGUGCUGGGUGUGCCGACGCUGAGACGACGAAAGCCAGGGGAGCCAAAGCGGGG